AAUCAACGCUGGCGGCGCGCUUAACACAUGCAAGUCGAACGAGAAAGCCGGGGCGAACCUGGUGAGUAAAGUAGGCGUACGGGUGAGUAACACGUGGAUCAUCUACCCUCGGAGUGGGGAAGUAACGCUGGGAAACCGGACGCUAAUACCGCAUAAAUCCCGACGAGGGCGAAAGGAAAGGCAAUUCCGUUUCAGGAGGAGUCUGCGGCCGAUUAGCUUGUUGGCAGGGUAAAAGACCUA
rnacentral:rRNA from 1 species